UUUAUAGGUUAGUAUGCAAUUUGAGUUGAAGUCAUUAAGUUUUCCAUUAGGGAGUUGUAAGACUUAUUUAUACUUGAGUGCUCAGUGAAGUUUGGACCAUGCACAAGCUAAGGUUUUGGAUCUCCAAAAUAUCGCUAAUAUUAGUAGUUUCCAAGAAUUGGUCGGACAAGACCUAUUUGCUGAUUCAAAAUCAUCUUUUCUGCAGGAUUUCGAGAGUUGUGGAUGUUUACUUUAAUACCUC
rnacentral:lncRNA from 1 species